UACGGGAGGCAGCAGUGGGGAAUAUUGCACAAUGGGCGAAAGCCUGAUGCAGCUAUGCCGCGUGUAUGAAGAAGGCCUUAGGGUUGUAAAGUACUUUCAUCGGGGAGGAAAAAACAAAACUAAUAAUUUUAUUUCUUGACGUUACCCGAAAAAGAAGCACCGGCUAACUCCGUGCCAGCAGCCGCGGUAAUACGGAGGGUGCUAGCGUUAAUCAGAAUUACUGGGCGUAAAGAGCACGUAGGUGGUUUUUUAAGUCAGAUGUGAAAUCCCUGGGCUUAACCUAGGAACUGCAUUUUGAAACUGAAAUACUAGAGUAUCGUAGAGGGAGGUAGAAUUCUAGGUGUAGCGGUGAAAUGCGUAGAUAUCUGGAGGAAUACCUGUGGCGAAAGCGGCCUCUAAACGAAUACUGACACUGAGGUGCGAAAGCGUGGGGAGCAAACAGGGAUUAGAUACC
rnacentral:rRNA from 1 species